ACCCCGAGUCUGACGAGCAUCACCACUUGUCAUGUAUGUAGUCAGCUCACUGACCCCGAGUCUGACGAGCAUCACCACUUGUCAUGUAUGUAGUCAGCUCACUGACCCCGAGUCUGACGAGCAUCACCACUUGUCAUGUAUGUAGUCAGCUCACUGACCCCGAGUCUGACGAGCAUCACCACUUGUCAUGUAUGUAGUCAGCUCACUGACCCCGAGUCUGACGAGCAUCACCACUUGUCAUGUAUGUAGUCAGCUCACUGACCCCGAGUCUGACGAGCAUCACCACUUGUCAUGUAUGUAGUCAGCUCACUGACCCCGAGUCUGACGAGCA